CUUCAACGAUCCCAGCCACAGCGGCUCACCCGCGCGGCCCUGACCGUAGGUGGCCAGCAGCGCCUGCGCCUC
rnacentral:antisense_RNA from 1 species